GCGACCGGCGCACGGGUGAGUAACGCGUAUGCAACUUACCUAUCAGAGGGGGAUAACCCGGCGAAAGUCGGACUAAUACCGCAUGAAGCAGGGGCCCCGCAUGGGGACAUUUGCUAAAGAUUCAUCGCUGAUAGAUAGGCAUGCGUUCCAUUAGGCAGUUGGCGGGGUAACGGCCCACCAAACCGACGAUGGAUAGGGGUUCUGAGAGGAAGGUCCCCCACAUUGGUACUGAGACACGGACCAAACUCCUACGGGAGGCAGCAGUGAGGAAUAUUGGUCAAUGGGCGUAAGCCUGAACCAGCCAAGUCGCGUGAGGGAUGAGGGUUCUAUGGAUCGUAAACCUCUUUUAUAAGGGAAUAAAGUGCGGGACGUGUCCCGUUUUGUAUGUACCUUAUGAAUAAGGAUCGGCUAACUCCGUGCCAGCAGCCGCGGUAAUACGGAGGAUCCGAGCGUUAUCCGGAUUUAUUGGGUUUAAAGGGUGCGUAGGCGGCCUUUUAAGUCAGCGGUGAAAGUCUGUGGCUCAACCAUAGAAUUGCCGUUGAAACUGGGGGGCUUGAGUAUGUUUGAGGCAGGCGGAAUGCGUGGUGUAGCGGUGAAAUGCUUAGAUAUCACGCAGAACCCCGAUUGCGAAGGCAGCC
rnacentral:rRNA from 1 species